rnacentral:misc_RNA from 2 species
AACGCACCUUGCGCUCCUUGGUAUUCCGAGGAGCAUGCCUGUUUGAGUGUCAUGGUAUUCUCAAUCCAUCUGGUUCUGUCACCGGAAUUAUGGUGGACUUGGAUGUGGAGGUUUUUGCUGGUCUUUGAUGAUCAGCUCCUCUGAAAUGCAUCAGCAUAAACACUUUGCUGCUCUCAGUGUGAUAAUUAUCUGCACUGUGGUAAAGCUCUUGAGUUAUUGCUUCUAAUUGUCUGUUUGCUCAGACAACUUUCAUUGACAUCUGACCUCAAAUCAGGUAGGACUACCCGCUGAACUUAA